UACGAAGGGGGCUAGCGUUGCUCGGAAUCACUGGGCGUAAAGCGCACGUAGGCGGAUUGUUAAGUCAGGGGUGAAAUCCUGGAGCUCAACUCCAGAACUGCCUUUGAUACUGGCGAUCUCGAGUCCGGGAGAGGUGAGUGGAACUGCGAGUGUAGAGGUGAAAUUCGUAGAUAUUCGCAAGAACACCAGUGGCGAAGGCGGCUCACUGGACUGGUAUUGACGCUGAGGUGCGAAAGCGAGGGGAG
rnacentral:rRNA from 1 species